GGAUUUCUGUCGUGGUCAUCCGGCUCCGCCUGUAUAGGUGUGCGCCUGGUUUGCCCUCGGCUUUCUUCCGGUAGCCUACCGCGCUUCACUGCGUGCGUGGUGUUUUCCGGAACUUUUACUUUGAGAAAAAUAGAGUGUUUCAAGCAGGCUUGUCGCCCUGAAUACUUCAGCAUGGAAUAAUAAGAUAGGACCUUGGUUCUAUUUUGUUGGUUUCUAGGACCAAGGUAAUGGUUAAUAGGGACAGUUGGGGGCAUUCGUAUUUAACUGUCAGAGGUGAAAUUCUUAGAUUUGUUAAAGACGAAUUACUGCGAAAGCAUUUGCCAAGGAUAUUUUCAUUAAUCAAGAACGACAGUAGGGGGUUUGAAGACGAUUAGAUACCGUCGUAAUCUCUACCAUAAACUAUGCCGACUAGAGAUAGGGAAUUCAUUAGCCCAAUCUUCCCUGCACCUCAUGAGAAAUCAAAGUCUCUGGGUUCUGGGGGGAGUACGGUCGCAAGGCUGAAACUUAAAG
rnacentral:rRNA from 1 species